UUAGUUGAUUAAAAUAUUCAUAUUGGAUAUGAAUAUGAAAACAUCUAUUUUUGAAUUUUGACUAGUAAGCGGUAAACCUAUCUCGACACCGUCUCAUUUGCUCUUUUAUUUUUGAGUACUGAUUUACGGCAAACAGGGAGGAAUGAGGUACUAUAUUAUGAUGCUUGUCUUUCUAUGAAGCAUUUUAUCAAACACUUGGAGUGCAAACUUCUCCAUUGUUGUCUGCUGUCAUUUGUUUGCUUCAUAUCUGGAGAUCAUCCUUCUGUUGUCGUCACUUUGUUAAUUUGACUGAAUUAUUACUUUGAUUUUUCUUGGAACUUCUGGAGUUUGAUGGGUUGUACUUCUUGCGAGAGAAUAUGUGAUGAUGAUCAAUUCUAGCAGAAGCCUCUUAUCUAUUUGAUGUUCCCUACAAUUAUUCAAAUAUCUGAUCCUUAAAACCUCGUCUGAUUUGAAAGUCAAUAAAUAGGUAUGUUAUUUCUUGUUCAUCAACCUUCUUAAUCAACAUACAAAUUUUAGAAAGGAUAUUGUAUGUUUAUGGAACUUGCAAACAAGCUAAUUAAGGAUAAAUAGACUAAUUUUUUUUGAUAACAGACUAAUUUAAGGAAAAAGAAGAAUUAAAUGAGAAUCUAUCAGAAGAAUUAAAUGAGAAUCUAUCAUAAAAAUCUUAUCACAAAAAGUAAUACUUAUUUUUCAUUUGAAACAAACCCAAUUUUUUGGCUAUUCUAAACAAAUACAUAAUAUAUUGAAAAAGACAAUACAUGCUUGUAUUCUUAAGGUUAUCCUUGCUUCAACGUCAUACACUAACUUUAAUUGAUAACAAGUGAUUAUGUCACCCGCAAAUUUUGUUAGCUUUGUUUUUUCAAUAGUAAUGUUUUUUGUCAUUAUAUAUGAACAAGGUAAACUAUAAUUGGGAUUCAUAUGGAUUGCCUCUUAUACUAUUGAGGUAUUAUAAAGUUCAAUAGGAUUGAUUUUGAGGAUGAUCAGAAACAAUGUAUAAUUUUAUAAUAAAUUAUUUUUUUUCAUGAUUCAUAUAAACAGCGACUAAUACUGUUAUUAUAAUUAAAAAUAACAUGUAUGAUGCAUAUUUUUUAAAUUUGUAUAGAAAAGAAUAUAUAUGCUCUUUUACAUUAAAGUUAAGAUCAACCUUGUCCAACGCUACGAUAAUAAUUUAUUUGAUUAAGGAUAAGAAAGAAUCAAGCCUAAUUUGCUUAUGCUGUUGCCCGAAUUAUUUGAUUAAAAAUUCUAUUAAUAAAUUUAGUAUAUACAAAUAUCAUGAAAUAAUAUUCAGUCCGUCUUAACUAGCAUACUGUAUUAGCCACCAACUAAAAAUUAAAAUAUAGUAACUCCCCCCUCUAUACUAUAGGAUAAUGUUUAUGAUUGAAGUGUUAUUCUAAAAUAAGUAAAAUUUUCUUGCUUGGAAGCCUUGGAUUAUGUUGAUUGAUGCUAAAGUUUGUCGACAUGCAAAGUAACAAAAGAUUUAGAUUCGUGUGGUCAAUGAUAGCCAUGGCAAUACAAGAAGUAACAGGCAUCACAUGUAAUUAUACUUACGAAAAAUAAAAAAUAAAUAAUAUAUAAUACUUCCUAAAGAAUACGUAUAAAAAUGGUGAUUGGUGCAUCCCAAAGCUAAAGUAAGAGUACGUAGGGUCUCAUUGUAUGCAUAACAUACCAGUUUUAGUUCACGGGUCUUCUAUCUCUAUCCAUCAUAAAAUGUCCUAUGCUGAUUAUUAUCAGCGGGACCAUAAUUUAAAAUUAGUCUUAUAUUUUACGUCAUUUUUUCUAAUUUUUAUUAAGAUAAAUUCUUUAUUAAGACCAUCUUAUUGUAAGACGGCUUAAUAUAGGUUGAUCUAAUUUUAAUUUAUUAAAAAAAAUAGUUUAUUUAUUAAAAAAUAAAAAAAUUAGUUUAGAGGUAGUUUGAGAUUUUUUUUUAAUAAUACGUUCUAAUUUUCAAUUCAAGAUCAUCUUAAACAAUGCAAAAUGAGAAUGAGAUGUAAGAAAUGAUUAAGCAAUUACCUAUUACAAUGAGAGGAAUUGAAAUAAUCUCCAGUUUGGCAGAUGCCUUU